GGUGAGGUGCAGGAGUGGCUAAUCUGCCAGGUUUCGAAAACCUUGGUCCUGUUAAUCAGGAACGCGAGUUCGAAUCUCGCCCUCACCG
rnacentral:tRNA from 1 species